CAGCAGCCGCGGUAAUACGAAGGGGGCUAGCGUUGUUCGGAUUUACUGGGCGUAAAGGGCGCGUAGUCGGACUGAUAAGUCAGGGGGUGAAAUCCCAAGGCUCAACCUUGGAACUGCCUUUGAUACUGUUUGUCUUGAGUUCGAGAGAGGUAAGUGGAACUGCGAGUGUAGAGGUGAAAUUCGUAGAUAUUCGCAAGAACACCAGUGGCGAAGGCGGCUUACUGGCUCGAUACUGACGCUGAGGCGCGAAAGCGUGGGGAGCAAACAGGAUUAGAUACCCCAGUAGUCCCUGUCUCUUAUA
rnacentral:rRNA from 1 species